UACGGAGGGUGCAAGCGUUAAUCGGAAUUACUGGGCGUAAAGCGUGCGCAGGCGGUUUGUUAAGUCUGUUGUGAAAUCCCCGAGCUCAACUUGGGAAUUGCAAUGGAUACUGGCAGGCUGGAGUAUGGUAGAGGAAGGUGGAAUUCCUGGUGUAGCGGUGAAAUGCGCAGAUAUCAGGAGGAACACCGGUGGCGAAGGCGGAUCUCUGGGCCAUUACUGACGCUGAGGAGCGAAAGCGUGGGGAGCGAACAGG
rnacentral:rRNA from 1 species